CUUUUAUAUCUACUGUUUAAAACCUGUGACAUUGUUCUACUUUAUUUUUUCUCCACAUCUCAUUUCCAGACUGCACACAUUCAGAGCAGAACCUCAAGAACCCAGCUGUGUGUCUAUGAAGAGCAACAACUCGAUGACUGAGCCUCUUAAAUUCAGUAAUGAAAGAAUGGGCGCUGACCUGAGAUUGCACACAUUCAGAGCAGAACCUCCAGAGCCCAGCUGUGUAUCUAUGAAGAGCAGCCACUCGAUGAUUGAGCCUCUUAAAUUCAGUAAUGAAAGAAUGGGCGCUGACCUGAGACUCCAGACAUUCAGAGCAGAACCUCCAGAGCCCAGCUAUGUAUCUAUGAAGAGCAGCCACUCGAUGAUUGAGCCUCUUAAAUUCAGUAAUGAAAGAAUGGGUGCUGACCUGAGCUGUGGAAGGGAUAUGCGAUUCCAGGAUCAGUCCAGGUGUGGAGUGUGUGAGCAGAUUCAG
rnacentral:lncRNA from 1 species